rnacentral:sRNA from 1 species
UAUUUUAAUAGUUAAAACUUUCAACAACGGAUCUCUUGGUUCUGGCAUCGAUGAAGAACGCAGCGAAAUGCGAUAAGUAAUGUGAAUUGCAGAAUUCAGUGAAUCAUCGAAUCUUUGAACGCACAUUGCGCCCUCUGGUAUUCCGGGGGGCAUGCCUGUUCGAGCGUCAUUACAACCCUCAAGCUCUGCUUGGUAUUGGGUGUCACCGCAUUGGUGCACCUCAAAAUCAGUGGCGGUGCCACCUGGCUUCUAGCGUAGUAAUACUCCUCGCUAUGGAGUCAGUUGUGUACUUGCCAACAACCCCUAAUUUUAUAAGGUUGACCUCGGAUCAGGUAGGGAUACCCGCUGAACUUAA